rnacentral:lncRNA from 1 species
AUGUUCCGCGCGGACCCGCGAGCGCGCGGUCCGCCGCCGUUCGGGCACCCGCCGCCCCCCGCCCCUCCCUUCAGGCCGGCGGGACCCGGAGCCCCGUUCACCAACAGCCCGUUCUGCCACAGCAGGCCGCCGGGAGCCCACUGCAUCAGCCCCCACUGUAGCAACUUCUCCAUAGACUGUAGUACAGUCAUUGCUGUGGGUGGCAGCCAGCAGAUUGCACCCCCUGCAGAAAGGCUGCAUCCUCCGGUACCUCAGUGGAAUCCCAAUCCUUUGGAGAAAAAUUGCCCAGACAGCAGUGACCAAGCUGGGGAGGAAUUCCUGCGAUGCAUCGCCGCCAACAAGCCCCUACCAGACUACCUGAAAGGGAACAUGGCUUACAAUCUGGCAGAAGCAUUUAAAUCUGCCAAUGUCCUUAAAGAAGCCGUUAGAUCAGACCCACAGUUCCAGAAGCAUGUGUCAAGGAGCAAAAGCCGGAGCAGAAGUAAGGCCAGAUCUAGAGCUAAAAGCUGUGGGCGCAGCCAAAACCGGAGGCGCAGCCAUAGCCGGGGACGCAGCCGAAGCCGGAGGCGCAGCCGAAGCCGGGGAAGAAGUAAAAGUCGAGUACGCAGCAAGAAUUGUGCUAGAAGCAAAAGUAGAGGUAGCAGUUGGAGUCGAACCAGGAGUCGAAGCAAAAGCCGAAGCAGAAAGAAGCACCUGAGAAGCAAGAGCCAGGUUGGCAGGUCAAGGUCAAGAAGUAGUGAAGUGAACCGUGGCAAAUACCAGAGGAGGAGCAGCCCAACCUGCACCGCAGACGGCUUGUCAAGGACCAGCCUGUUGGAAGAGCUGAAGCUCGCCAUGAGCAGCAACCAGCUGGUGGACUGUUUGCCCUCUCUCAAAGCAGCCCUUCUCAGCAUCCAGAGCCCACCUGAAGAUAAACCUGCAGAGAGUUUGUCUGGGCCCACCCAGAUUCAGCAAAGGGAAAGUUGUCGGGACAACUCAACGUCUCCUGAAAACGAGAGCAUGCUGCUUCCCCACGAAAGAGUUGGGGGCAAUUUCUCCUGGCUCCAAGAGAAGAGCCAGGAGGACAUUUCAGUGCAAAGAGCCAACGAGCUUGAGGAAGAGGAGUCCUUCUUGUAUGGGAUGGAAGUUUCUCCUCCGAAGCUAAGCAAACCACACAGUUCUGCUGUCCGUCAGUCCCCGCUCGGCAGCUGUCCUCUCCAGUCCAAACCAUCCCUUCAGACUCUUUCUUCCUUCUCUUGUCUGGAUAGCGAGCAGUGUGAGAAGAUCAAGAGCAUCCUCAGCAGCCUGGGCGUUUCCUCACACUCAGAAAACGUCCCAGUGAAGACGAAGAGGGGCAGUCAGCCCCCCGUGGUCGCUGUCAGCUCCGACACGGCUAUGGCAACGCUAAACAACCCAAAUGUUUGUAAAGCUCUGGAGUCUCUGAUCCGAGGUGAGUCCUGA